GGCAAACAUCAUUUUUUAUAACUCUCUACCUAGGAAUCCUUAUUCCAAAUAUAGAAUAGCUAGUCCAUGACACCCUUCCCCCUUCUUUAGCUUAUGGAAUGCUGUUGUAUUGCUUAGAAUCUCAGUCUUUCUCAUAAACAUAAUAGUUUUGGUACAGGCUUUUCUUUGACAUAUGAUCUCAAAGUAGAGUUGAGCAAUCUAAUAUGAACUAUCUUAAUAAAACAUAAUUUAGUAUUUCUGUAAAGCAUUUUCAAAAGAUAACCAGACUUGUAGGAUUAGAGAUAUAAAUACUGAUGGUAGUAUUUUGCCUAAGAACAAUCACAUAUUAAUCUAUAAAUAUGGACAUUUGCCUUGUUGUACUUAAUUCUGUUGCACCAAACAACAAGUUUUUGUUGUUUGCUUAAUAGUGUUUCCUCUACAGAGAUCAAAAUGCCCUAAGAUUUUAUAUCCCUUAUAAAGUCACUUGGGUUUAUAGAUUGGAAGAAUAAGCUCUACUUAAUGUAAGAAAAAUUUUAUCUCCAUUGAAGGAAAUUAUUUAUCUAACUGGGCCACCAUGAAUCACUCAUUUAUUAGACAUGGUAAAUAAAAUGGGAAACAUUUCAAAUCAUUAGAUAAAUUCUGACUUGGAAUUGAAUUCUCACCUCCUUAAAGUCUUUUCUAUUUGUUUUUUUUUUUUCAAAGACUCAAUAUGGGCAUCUUAACUGAUAAGGGAGAGAAAUUCUUGGUCUGGAACCAUUCCCUGCCAUUCUGCCUUUUUUUUUUUUUUCCUCUGUCAAGGUCGCUGACUCUAGUACGUGUCACCAGGACAUAUUCAAGUUAAUGACAUUGGAAUGUUGAUGCUUAGUUGGAUAUCUUUCUGUUUUCAACAAAAUGGUUUUAUAGUAUGCUUUUCUCAAGCUUCUGUGUUCUUAAUAAUGAAAAAUAUCAAUAAAUGGUGUGAUUCAAAA
rnacentral:lncRNA from 1 species